rnacentral:rRNA from 1 species
AGUGAACGCUGGCGGUAGGCCUAACACAUGCAAGUCGAACGGCAGCACAGUAAGAGCUUGCUCUUACGGGUGGCGAGUGGCGGUCGGGUGAGGAAUACAUCGGAAUCUACUUUUUCGUGGGGGAUAACGUAGGGAAACUUACGCUAAUACCGCAUACGACCUACGGGUGAAAGCAGGGGAUCUUCGGACCUUGCGCGAUUGAAUGAGCCGAUGUCGGAUUAGCUAGUUGGCGGGGUAAAGGCCCACCAAGGCGACGAUCCGUAGCUGGUCUGAGAGGAUGAUCAGCCACACUGGAACUGAGACACGGUCCAGACUCCUACGGGAGGCAGCAGUGGGGAAUAUUGGACAAUGGGCGCAAGCCUGAUCCAGCCAUACCGCGUGGGUGAAGAAGGCCUUCGGGUUGUAGAGCCCUUUUGUUGGGAAAGAAAAGCAGCAGGUUAAUACCCCGCUGUUCUGACGGUACCCAAAGAAUAAGCACCGGCUAACUUCGUG